UACGUAGGGGGCAAGCGUUGUCCGGAUUUAUUGGGCGUAAAGAGCGUGUAGGCGGUUUGGUAGGUCCGCUGUGAAAACUCGAGGCUCAACCUCGAGACGCCGGUGGAAACCAUCAGACUAGAGUCCGGAAGAGGAGAGUGGAAUUCCUGGUGUGGCGGUGAAAUGCGCAGAUAUCAGGAAGAACACCCGUGGCUAAGGCGGCUCUCUAGUACGGUACUGACGCUGAGACGCGAAAGCGUGGGGAGCGAACAGG
rnacentral:rRNA from 1 species